AUGAACGCUGGCGGCGUGCUUAACACCUGCCAGUCGCACGGAAAGGCCCAAGCUUGCUUGGGUACUCGAGUGGCGAACGGGUGAGUAACACGUGGGUGAUCUGCCCUGCACUUCGGGAUAAGCCUGGGAAACUGGGUCUAAUACCGGAUAGGACCACGUCUUGGAUGUUGUGGUGGAAAGUUUUUUCGGUGUGGGAUGAGCUCGCGGCCUAUCAGCUUGUUGGUGGGGUAAUGGCCUACCAAGGCGUCGACGGGUAGCCGGCCUGAGAGGGUGUACGGCCACAUUGGGACUGAGAUACGGCCCAGACUCCUACGGGAGGCAGCAGUGGGGAAUAUUGCACAAUGGGCGCAAGCCUGAUGCAGCGACGCCGCGUGGGGGAUGACGGCCUUCGGGUUGUAAACUCCUUUCGCUAGGGACGAAGCGUUUUUGUGACGGUACCUGGAGAAGAAGCACCGGCUAACUACGUG
rnacentral:rRNA from 1 species